UACGUAGGGGGCGAGCGUUGUCCGGAUUUACUGGGCGUAAAGCGUGCGCAGGCGGUUUUGUAAGACAGGCGUGAAAUCCCCGAGCUCAACUUGGGAAUUGCGCUUGUGACUGCAAGGCUAGAGUGUGUCAGAGGGGGGUAGAAUUCCACGUGUAGCAGUGAAAUGCGUAGAGAUGUGGAGGAAUACCGAUGGCGAAGGCAGCCCCCUGGGACAUGACUGACGCUCAUGCACGAAAGCGUGGGGAGCAAACAGG
rnacentral:rRNA from 1 species